rnacentral:rRNA from 1 species
GUUUUCAACAAGUUCUAUCAGAUGGCCGGGAAUAAUUUUGCCGAGCUAAACUCAGCGCUCAUUGCCCUGCUGCCGAAGAAGGAUGGCGCGUCUGAGAUCAGUCACUACAGGCCCAUCAGCUUAAUUCACUCCAGGGUGAUCCGUUGUCCCCACUGCUGUUCAUCCUGGCUAUCGAUCCGUUGUUCCGUCUGCUGGACACGGCCACAGCAAGGGGGUUGA